AGAGAUGGAUUGGUGCCUUCGGGAACUUACAUACAGGUGCUGCAUGGCUGUCGUCAGCUCGUGUCGUGAGAUGUUGGGUUAAGUCCCGCAACGAGCGCAACCCUUUUCCUUAUUUGCCAGUGGGUUAAGCCGGGAACUUUAAGGAUACUGCCAGUGACAAACUGGAGGAAGGCGGGGACGACGUCAAGUCAUCAUGGCCCUUACGACCAGGGCUACACACGUGCUAUAAUGGUCGGUACAAAGGGUUGCUACCUAGCGAUAGGAUGCUAAUCUCAAAAAGCCGAUCGUAGUCCGGAUUGGAGUCUGCAACUCGACUCCAUGAAGUCGGAAUCGCUAAUAAUCGCGGAUCAGAAUGCCGCGGUGAAUACGUUCCCGGGCCUU
rnacentral:rRNA from 1 species